UGCAGGUGCAGGGGACACGGGUUCGAGCCCCGGUCUGGGAGGAUCCCAUGUGCCGCGGAGCGGCUGGGCCCGUGAGCCAUGGCCGCUGGGCCUGCGCGUCCAGAGCCUGUGCUCCGCAGCGGGAGAGGCCACAACAGUGAGAGGCCCUGGGGACCCCCUUGCUGCCCUGGCGAGCCAUCUGUCACAGGUCCCCUAGUCCAGGAUCCAGCCGGUUGAUGGGCUGUAAUGUAAACCCUUGAGGGCAGACCCUAGGCUUGUUCCCUCACAGCCUGGUGGUUCAGUGACUGGCCUUGAGGUCGACCAGAAGCUGGGCUUGAAUCCCAGCUCCCCCACUAAUCAGAUGUGUGACCUUGGAUGGUAUCAAGGAACCCAAGAAACAACAGAGAGACUUAAAAACGGGCUGCCACGACAGAUGACACUUUGGCCUAAGUUAUGGAAAAUGCAGUUGCUGAAACGUGAAUUCGCCAGCUCGAAGAUAUGCUACUCCAAACGAGGCUAAGAUUCUAAGAUUGCAUGGAUCUUUCUCAGAGAGUACUCUUCUAACAUAGUGGACAGUGGCAUUGAUCCUGAUGUUCCCUCCUGCUGAGCCCCAGGCUCACCUGUGCCCUUCACCUGGAAGUCAGUGCGGCGCUGCAGCGUGGAUGGCAGCUCAUUCAGCCGUAGGCUCAGCUGCCGUUUGAAAGUAUGAUUUAAGAGUACGUUGCAUACAAUAAACAAGGCAUGGAAACAACCUAAAUGUCCAUCAAUAGAUGAAUGGAUAAAGAAGAUGUGGUAAUAUAUAUACAAUGGAAUACUACCCAGCCAUAAAAAAGAAUGAAAUAAUGCCAUUUGCAGCAACAUGGAUGGACGUGGAGAUCAUCAUACUAAGUGAAGUAAGUCAGAAAGAGAAAGACAAAUAUCAUGUGAUGUCACUUAUAUGUGGAAUCUAAAAAACAGAUACAAAUGAACUUAUUCACAAAACAGAAAUAGACUCACAGGCAUAGAAAACAAAUUUAUGGUUACCAAAGGGGAAAAGGGAGAGGGGAUAAAUUAGGAGCUGGGGACUAACGGAUGCACACUACUGUAUAUAAAAUAUAAAUAUAAAUACAUAUAAACAACAAGGAAAAAAAAAAAAGAGUAAGCUGCAGACAGCUUACCCGACCCUAAAACCUUCAGCAUGUACCUAAGAACAAGGACAGCCUCCUACUCCACAGGACAACUUCUUACUUGGGAAGUUUAACAUGGAUAUGAUACUGUUAGCUAGUCUACAGUCCAUAUUCUAAUUUCCCCAACUGGUCUACUCAUGUCCUUUAUGGAUGUUCAUAUAUAUAUAUAUAUUUUUCAAGGUAUAUAUUUUAUAUAUAUAUAUUCAAUAUAUAUAUAUUGAAUUGAAUGUUGAAUAUAUAUCUAUAUAUACAAUAUCCAUGAUUCAAUUCAGGAUCGCACGUUACAUUUAUUAA